UCUCUCACAGUUACAUAUCACGCAUUCACACAUGAGCAGAUUAUUUCAUAUUCAACUUUGUUAUGGUUUCCUUCUUUCUGAUCAUAGGUAAGAGUUUUGGCAUCAUUAACAACGGAAAAUGUGAUAGCAUGCUCCAUCCUCCCAGACUCACACAGACAGUCACCACAUGGCGGUGCAGACUGCAGAUAAAGGACCUAAAUAGGGCCACAGAUGCACAAUCAUAUAAAUGGCAAUAAUGAGUAUAAUAAAGGGCAAAUUGGAAGGCAUAUUUAAUCUCAAUUAUGCGCUUACUUUAUCCUUUGAGGCUAUUGGUCUAGGUGAUGAUUAAUAGUAAUAGGUGAUGAUAGGUAAUGAACACAUCUACAUAAAAAUAUGCUUUGCUCCUAGUGAACUUUAGGGUCCGUUAGCCUCAGCAAGCCUUGUCAAUCUUGGUGUGACCAACAUUUUGGCGAACAAAUUGGCCAUCCUCAGUUAGCCCGUGAAUUGGCAAAAAAUGCACUGUCCCCUGCCAACUUUUUGGUGUCCAAUGAAAUCAUAGGCAAAGAGUCACAGGUGUGCCAAUUUUGCCAAGGCCAGCUUUGGCUCGGAACCAAACAAAUCUUUAGUUCAUUAACUCCUUGAAAUUUUGGAUACUUGGUCCCUGGAUAACUUUGUACGCCAUCUUUUGAUGUAUUUUUACUGCUGGCGUGCCCCGCCCAAUCUCCUGCAAGGACGUGAAUUCCCAAGUUUCUGAAGUGCACCAGACAAAUGUCUCCUUGCCAUCUGGUGGUCUUGAGCGUGAAAAGUAGUAUCCAGAUAGGCAGUGGCGGACGCAAAAAAAUACCCUAGGGCGCCCACCCUUCUGCGUACGCCCCUGCAGAUAGGUCUCCUGCCAUGGUUGAGGAUGACCUGCAGGAUGCUGGGCAGCGGCGCCGCUUCCCUGACCGAUUGGAUUGCAGAGGCGAAACCGGCACUGCCCCAAGGGUUUGGCAACAGCAACAUUUCUAAUACCCUGGAUGCUCUGGAAACACAGAAACGACUGCGUCUUCAACAGAGCUCGACCGUCCACGCAGGAUUUGCUAGCCAAGAUCAAAGAGGAAGCUACCAUUUGGGCUAGGGCCGGGGCGCUAGGCCUAUGGGCCAUGCUGCCAACCUGCUGGGAUGUGCACUAGGAUCUUUUUCCUUUUCAUGUACCUCUGUCUCUUAGGAGACUUGUAACCAAAACUCUUAUCUUUUCAAUGAUAUGAAGCGCAAAGGUCCUUUGCGUUUUCUCGAAAAAAUAUCAUCUAAAUUGAACAUCUUCAUGUUAAUUGAUUACUGCUGUAAUUGUUAUUUGUCUCAGCCAAAGAGUCAUCUUUUCAGCAGAAUAAAGAUAAAUAGAAUGU